rnacentral:rRNA from 1 species
CCUGCAUGUGUAGUAUAAAAUUACUUUGAACUGCGAAUGGCUCAUUAUAUCAGUAUAGUUUAUUAGAACUCUAUGGAUAACCGUAGUAAUUCUAGGGCUAAUACAUGAAUAAAUGAAGUGUGUUAUUAAUGAAACCUUAGUGAGUAAUAAUAUUCGUAUCGUAUGGAUAACGAUAUUCUUUCAAGUUUCUGCUAUCACUUUGAUGGUAUAUAUGGACUACCAUGGCGUAACGGGUAACGAAGAAUUUGGGUUCGUUUUCGGAGAGGGAGCCGAGAGAUGGCUACCACAUCCAAGGAAGGCAGCAGGCGCGUAAAUUCCCAAUCCUGACAUAGGGAGGUAGAAAUAAACAAUGCGGAACUUUUUUAAUUGGAUUGAGAACAUGUACAUGUUAUCGAUAAACAUUGGAGGCAAGUCGGUGCCAGCAGCCGCGGUAAUCCACUC